GGGUGGUUUUCCCCAUACUGUUCUCGUGGUAGUGAAUAAGUCUCAGGAGAUCUGGUGGUUUUAUAAGGGGAAACCUCUUUCACUUGGAUCUCAUUCUGCCUUGCCUGCCACCAUGUAAGAUGUCCCUUGCUCUUCCACCAUGAUUGUGAGGCCUCUCCAGCCAUGUGAAACUGUCUGUGUAGGUUUUUUCUGGCUACUCCUGUUUCCUCCCACAUCCCAAAGGUGUGCCUAUGAGGUGAACUGCCAUGUCUACACAUCCCAGUAUGAGUGAGUGCAGGUGGUGUGCACGCGCCCUGCGAUGGGAGUGUGUCCUAUUCAGGGCUGGUUCCCGCCUUGCGCCCUAAGCUUUGGAGAUAGGCUUCGGCCACCCUCAACCCUGAACUGGAAUAAGCAGAAAACCACAUCUGGUCAGGAGCCCAGUGUGUCCCACUUGGACAAGAAUAGAAAUCUCUCUUCUGGAAUAUGAUCUUCUCUGGUUGGAGCCAAUGGUUUCUUUCAGACCUGAGAUAUCCUGAUGAAGCAGACCACACCUGCCCUCAGAGAUGACCUCAUGAGGAAGCUGAGCUGCAUAACAAACAUCUCUGCUGCUCAGCCACCUCCACUCUUUUUCAACAGACCUUGGAGAUAGCACAGCACCCACACCAAAAAAUCAGGAAGCUCUCUUAUCAGCAAUCUUUCUGUACCUAUGAAAUCAGACAUUCCAGCCAUGGCAGAACCUCCUGAGUGGGCCAGAGCCUCAGAGUCAGGAAAAGCUGGGGCCUAAUGAUGUUUCAAAUCAAAUCACUCUGUAGGGGAUUUUCCAUUUAACAUAUUGUGAUUGUGCAGUAACAUUAGUCUUUGCCAUUUAAUUUAUUAAAUUUUAAAAUCUUAUAAUAUCCUCAA
rnacentral:lncRNA from 1 species